GCAGGUUUAAAAUGCUGAGAGAAAGUAAAAAAUAUUUUAAAACUGAUGGCAUUAAUAGCCUAAAGUAUAAAGUAUUAAAGAUUGACUUUAAUCAUCUCUACACACGAGUCGUUGUUGACAUAGAUGAAAAAGAAGUUAUGGCGGUAUGUUCAAAUGUUUUUAUUUUUAUUUUUGUUUUCGAUUGAAAAAAAUUGAGAAAAAAUAUCAUGGCAAUAAACCUAUUUGCAUAUAUGACGGUUUCCAUAUUUUAAAUUAAGAGUCUUUGAUUCUGACAAUUGAGAUUAGAUAAAUAGAUUUUAGAGUGUAAUUAGAUUAUUCGAACUAUAAAUAUUAAUAAAACUAAUUAUUAUUUUAGGGAAUAAAAAAAGUCAUAACACGAUCCGUCAGUGAAGAACACUCUUAGAUACCAUUCAAGUGAAAAAAAAUUACAGGGAGACAAUUCAUUUGACAAUGCAUUAAUAAUGCAUUAUGGGUAUUUUGGAGCAUUGAAACAGUAUGGAUAGCAUGAAUUUGGAUGACAGAAGAUGGAUUAUUUAAUCAACCCAUUACAGCAAAACCUCAUUAACACUGUUUCACAAGAAAGAAAAGUAAACGUCCUUGUUAUUAUGAAGCUACGUUAGAGAUGGAGUGAUUAAAUAAUUGUUUUUUUGUGUGUGUGUGUGUGUGUGUGUUUUAUUUUGUGUUUUUUUUAUAUAUUAAAUCGUUACGAAAUGAAUAUAGAUAGUUUAUUUGAGUAAUUUGUAUUUAUGCAUUGUUUAACAGGUCGAGUACAAUAAAUUAUACUUAUAGGAAAGCACAUAAAUUAUCAUAUAAAUUACAAUUUAAUUGUUUA
rnacentral:lncRNA from 1 species